rfam:Ciona savignyi cont_61895, whole genome shotgun sequence.
GGGGGUGUAGCUGAGAUGGUAGAGCGCGCGCUUAGCAUGCGCGAGGUACCGGGAUCGAUAUCCGGCACCUCCA